CCUACGGGAGGCAGCAGUGGGGAAUAUUGGGCAAUGGGCGCAAGCCUGACCCAGCAACGCCGCGUGAAGGAAGAAGGCUUUCGGGUCGUAAACUUCUUUUAUCAGGGACGAACCAAGUGACGAUACCUGGUGCAUAAGCCACGGCUAACUACGUGCCAGCCGCCGCCGUAAUACGUAGGUGGCAAGCGUUAUCCGGAUUUACUGGGUGUAAAGGGCGUGUAGGCGGGAUUGCAAGUCAGAUGUGAAAACUAUGGGCUCAACCCAUAGCCUGCAUUUGAAACUGUACUUCUUGAGUGCUGGAGAGGCAAGCGGAAUUCCGUGUGUAGCGGUGAAAUGCGUAGAUAUACGGAGGAACACCAGUGGCGAAGGCGGAUUGCUGGACAGUAACUGACGCUGAGGCGCGAAAGCGUGGGGAGCAAACAGGAUUAGAUACCCUUGUAGUC
rnacentral:rRNA from 1 species